rnacentral:lncRNA from 1 species
UUGGAUCAAGGUAAGUCUUCAUGUCCCGGAAAAAAGAACAGUUUUUCUAAUCAAAAUAUAAUGAGCUAAUGUAAACUGGACACAGACUGAUCAAUCAACAGCCCUAUACUGGACUAAAAAUCACCGGUUUUAUUGCUUUACAGGAAGUUUUUUCCCCACUUGAAGAAAGGAUACAUAAUCAAACUCCAUUCAUGAAAUCAGCUAAAAAAGAAUCCGAAGUAAGAUAAAUUAAGCGACGGUGAUAACGAUAACAGCGAACCCUAUGUAAUUUAUUAAAAAAUAAUAAUAAAAAAUCCUUACUUAAAUUACUCAAGAAAGGAGGUUUAUUCACUAUAUCAGAACAAGAUUUUAUGGGAAUGAAUUUCUGCAAAAAUUAUUACCUAAAUUGCACCACGUGAACCCGAAGAUAGAUGGAGAAGCAAAAAUUGCACAGGAGACGAGAGGAAGGUGUCCCUGUCGACGGGGCGAGGGGCGAGGGAAUUGACAGAGACCAUACAGGUACGAGUUAAUCGUUACACUUGUCACUCAACUUAGCCCAAUGUUCUUG